AGUGAACGCUGGCGGUAGGCCUAACACAUGCAAGUCGAACGGCAGCACAGUAAGAGCUUGCUCUUACGGGUGGCGAGUGGCGGACGGGUGAGGAAUACAUCGGAAUCUACUUUUUCGUGGGGGAUAACGUAGGGAAACUUACGCUAAUACCGCAUACGACCUACGGGUGAAAGCAGGGGAUCUUCGGACCUUGUGCGAUUGAAUGAGCCGAUGUCGGAUUAGCUAGUUGGCGGGGUAAAGGCCCACCAAGGCGACGAUCCGUAGCUGGUCUGAGAGGAUGAUCAGCCACACUGGAACUGAGACACGGUCCAGACUCCUACGGGAGGCAGCAGUGGGGAAUAUUGGACAAUGGGCGAAAGCCUGAUCCAGCCAUACCGCGUGGGUGAAGAAGGCCUUCGGGUUGUAAAGCCCUUUUGUUGGGAAAGAAAAGCAGCAGGUUAAUACCCCGCUGUUAUGACGGUACCCAAAGAAUAAGCACCGGCUAACUUCGUG
rnacentral:rRNA from 1 species